rnacentral:rRNA from 1 species
GACGAACGCUGGCGGCGUGCUUAACACAUGCAAGUCGAGCGGAAAGGCCCUUUCGGGGGUACUCGAGCGGCGAACGGGUGAGUAACACGUGAGUAAUCUGCCCUUCACUUGGGGAUAACCUCCGGAAACGGUGGCUAAUACCCGAUACGACCAUUCCUCGCAUGAGGUGGUGGUGGAAAGUUUUUCGGUGGGGGAUGUGCUCGCGGCCUAUCAGCUUGUUGGUGGGGUAAUGGCCUACCAAGGCUUCGACAGGUAGCCGGCCUGAGAGGGUGACCGGCCACACUGGGACUGAGACACGGCCCAGACUCCUACGGGAGGCAGCAGUGGGGAAUAUUGGACAAUGGGCGGAAGCCUGAUCCAGCAACGCCGCGUGAGGGAUGACGGCCUUCGGGUUGUAAACCUCUUUCACCUGUGACGAAGCGAAAGUGACGGUAGCAGGAGAAGAAGCACCGGCCAACUACGUG